CUUGCCCUGAUGAAGCAAACUCACUUGUGCCCUGCUUAUGCUGUGAACUACCUAUUUAUGAUCUGACUGGAGAGAAAGAGUUAAUGGAAAACAAGACACUGCUGAAACAUCAUUGCUGCAUUUGUGGUAAUGCUUCUGGUAUGUGCUGAUCACUUCGUCUGUUUUGAAACUCCUGUACAUUCUGAAUAUCCAUCAUUCUUCCCAUAAAGCAAGAAGAGGAAGACACCCUCCAUCUUCAGAUAGCAAUCAUAAAACAAAAUAACAUGAAAUUGUGAAAUGAGUGGGUGAAAACUUUGUUCUACAGAGAUCUGU